rnacentral:rRNA from 1 species
UACGUAGGGUGCGAGCGUUAAUCGGAAUUACUGGGCGUAAAGCGUGCGCAGGCGGUUCGUUAAGUCAGAUGUGAAAGCCCCGGGCUCAACCUGGGAACUGCAUUUGAAACUGGCGGGCUUGAGUGUGGCAGAGGGGGGUGGAAUUCCGCGUGUAGCAGUGAAAUGCGUAGAGAUGCGGAGGAACACCGAUGGCGAAGGCAGCCCCCUGGGACAACACUGACGCUCAGGCACGAAAGCGUGGGGAGCAAACAGG